rnacentral:rRNA from 1 species
UACGUAGGUCCCGAGCGUUGUCCGGAUUUAUUGGGCGUAAAGCGAGCGCAGGUGGUUUAUUAAGUCUGGUGUAAAAGGCAGUGGCUCAACCAUUGUAUGCAUUGGAAACUGGUAGACUUGAGUGCAGGAGAGGAGAGUGGAAUACCAUGUGUAGCGGUGAAAUGCGUAGAUAUACGGAGGAACACCGGUGGCGAAAGCGGCUCUCUGGCCUGUAACUGACACUGAGGCUCGAAAGCGUGGGGAGCAAACAGG